ensembl:lncRNA
CAUUUGCUAUGGAUAAGCAUGUCUCCCCUCCCACAUCCAGCCAGGAUAAAAAAAGAGACAUUUUAAUAAUUCUGUGCUGUGCUUAGUUGCUCAGUCAUGCCUGACUCUUUGUGACCCCAUGGACUGCAGCCCACCAGGCUUCUUUCUGUCCAUGGAGAUUCUCCGAGGAAGAACCCUGUAGUGGGUUGCCAUGCCCUCCUCCAGGGAAUCUUCCCAGCUCAGGAAUUGAACCCUGGUCUCCUCUCAUUAAAGCUGGAUUCUUUACUGUCUGAGCCACCAGGCAAACCCUAUAAUAAAUCUACCCAUUUCUAGUAACCUCCUUCUAGAAUUCUCCUGCUGAGUUUUAUUACUUUUUUCCACCAAGGAGAAAGAAGCUGAGGAAGUGGAGGCAGGUCUGAGAAUGUAAACAAGCAUCUUCCACAGGAGAGUGUCCUAGGCUUUGUACAUAGUACCCAAAGUGGAAAUUAAAUUUAUGUGAAACCGUCGCUGACUCUUCACUUUUCUCAACUUGCAGCCCAUGGUUUUCAGGGGAGAAUGUGCUUCUUGUGGGCAACGGAGAGGACCCGGAGUGAGACGCUCGGAAAACGAGGAGGAACUGGUAAUAGGUGGGCCUGUUUCAAAAUACACACCGACGUUCAGGAUUCAUCUGCGUACGAACUGUUUCCACUGUGACACAGAGACAAGUUACAGAAAGAGAAAACGAUUGAUGUCUUAUUACUCCUGGUUGCUUCCUCCAGAUUCUGUCUUCAGAGUCAAGCUCAUGAGUGACCUGGGUGGUUACAGACCCCGUGAAGAAAGCCAAGUGCCUGCUGGGUUAGGCUCUGAUGACUGCUCCUUAUGUGAGCUCUGUGACCUCAGGAAAUGUGUUCUCAAAGGUAUCCAUAUGUGCAUGCACUCGGAGACUGAAUCUACGCUGAAGGUCUGAGACGGUCGGCAGGGCUGCCAUAAAAUAGUAGCAUCUUUUCAUCUGUUUGUUAGCCAUCUGUAUGUCUUCUUUGGAGAAAUGACCCCAAUGUUCAUCGCAGCACUGUUUAUAAUAGCCAGGACAUGGAAGCAACCUAGAUGUCCAUCAGCAGAUGAAUGGAUAAGAAAGCUGUGGUACAUAUACACAAUGGAGUAUUACUCAGCCAUUAAAAAGAAAACAUUUGAAUCAGUUCUAAUGAGGUGGAUGAAACUGGAGCCUAUUAUACAGAGUGAAGUAAGCCAGAAAGAAAAACACCAAUACAGUAUACUAACGCAUAUAUAUGGAAUUUAGAAAGAUGGUAACAAUAACCCUGUGUACGAGACAGCAAAAGAGACACUGAUGUAUAGAACAGUCUCAUGGACUCUAUGGGAGAGGGAAAGGGUGGGAAGAUUUGGGAGAAUGGCAUUGAAACAUGUAAAAUAUCAUGUAUGAAACGAGUUGCCAGUCCAGGUUCAAUGCACGAUACUGGAUGCUUGGGGCUGGUGCACUGGGACGACCCAGAGGGAUGGUAUGGGGAGGGAGGAGGGAGGAGGGUUCAGGAUGGGGAACACAUGUAUACCUGUGGCGGAUUCAUUUUGAUAUUUGACAAAACUAAUACAAUUAUGUAAAGUUUAAAAAUAAAAUUUAAAAAAAGAGAAAACA